rnacentral:rRNA from 1 species
GAUGAACGCUGGCGGCGUGCCUAAUACAUGCAAGUCGAGCGAACAGACGAGGAGCUUGCUCCUCUGACGUUAGCGGCGGACGGGUGAGUAACACGUGGAUAACCUACCUAUAAGACUGGGAUAACUUCGGGAAACCGGAGCUAAUACCGGAUAAUAUAUUGAACCGCAUGGUUCAAUAGUGAAAGACGGUUUUGCUGUCACUUAUAGAUGGAUCCGCGCCGCAUUAGCUAGUUGGUAAGGUAACGGCUUACCAAGGCAACGAUGCGUAGCCGACCUGAGAGGGUGAUCGGCCACACUGGCACUGAGACACGGUCCAGACUCCUACGGGAGGCAGCAGUAGGGAAUCUUCCGCAAUGGGCGAAAGCCUGACGGAGCAACGCCGCGUGAGUGAUGAAGGUCUUCGGAUCGUAAAACUCUGUUAUUAGGGAAGAACAAAUGUGUAAGUAACUAUGCACGUCUUGACGGUACCUAAUCAGAAAGCCACGGCUAACUACGUG